AUAUCCCUUUUCCUUAAAGCAGCUUUACAUCAAGGCUAUGCAAGUCUCAUGCUAUGCAAGUCCGUCGUGCAUGGCAUAUCUCUUGCCUACCCUGACCUUUUUACAUCGGAGCUAUUUCUGUGCAAUUAUAGAUACCACUUUCAUUGUUGCCAAUAGAAGAAAUAUAUCAAAAUAUUAACUUUAGAUAUUUCACUUAAAAACUUCAGUCCAUAAUUAAAUAUAUUCAAAUAUAAACCACAAAUUAUUACAUCCAAUAAAUACCAUUUAAACUUACACAAUAAGGUUAAGUUUUUUUCUAAACUAUAAAUUUUGUCACAUUGGCAACAUGAAUUUUGACAGGACUUGCAUCAAAAUAGCAUGAAAAAUAGAACAUGUUUUAAUUUUUCGUCUAGCACAGGAAUUGCAUGGAAAUAGCACGUGGGCAUGCGCAGUAGCGUGAUCUGUCUUGCAUAGCUCUUGCCUAGCAUGAAAAUAGCAUAAUGUAAAACUGUCUUUACUAAAUUUGACAGUAAGAAUAACAUAUUUUUGUAACUUGGGAAUUCCGAAUAAUUUAUGAGUAUUACUUAGAUAUUAUUUAAAUAAAAUACUUUAACAAGCUUAGUAAGUUCUGGUAUUUUAUUUUAAUAAUAUAGGUGAGAUUAUAAGAAGAUAUUUUAAUUAGUAACGAAAGGGCCCGCAAGAGGCGCUGAACGGAUGAAAUUAAUGCUUGUCCAUUUAAAUUUCCCGCCAAAUGGUGAUUAGUUAACACUACGGUCGCAAGUGGCGAAAGGAACCAAAUUUUUACAGUGAGUUGCCUAUCUAUCCGGUAAUACUAUAUUAUUAAUCUAUGGUCAGUAUCUCAGUAUGCCUUUAUCUUUUAUCUCGUUGUCAGUAAAAAUGUUUAUCUGAUUGUUAGCAAUAAUAAAAAAUCCUGAUUUAGAUAAAAUGGAUUCAAAUACAGUUUUUGAAACAAAACGAAUGUGAUUUGAAGAUCCAUAGGAAGAUCAAAUUCCUAGCUUACAUUUGCAUGGUGAGUUCAACAAGUAUUUGUUAUUAGAGAACAAGUAACAAAGUUAGUGGUGUAGGGAAGCAAACGAAUGUAACACCAAUUGAAAGUCCUCAACAAGUAGAGAUGCACACAUGUUUCAAUCAUUUGAGAUACCCUUUUGUAGAAGUAUUUGGAAGAUAACUAUUAAUAAUUUCAUUUGUAAAGAUACGAUUUGUAAAAAAGUAUAUACAAAGUGGUUUUGCUGGUAUUAAAUAAAUAAAUAAAAAUAC